rnacentral:rRNA from 1 species
UACGGAGGGUGCAAGCGUUAAUCGGAAUUACUGGGCGUAAAGGGUGCGUAGGUGGUUUGGUAAGUUAUCUGUGAAAUCCCCGGGCUCAACCUGGGCAGGUCAGAUAAGACUGCUGGACUCGAGUAUAGGAGAGGGUAGUGGAAUUUCCGGUGUAGCGGUGAAAUGCGUAGAGAUCGGAAGGAACACCAGUGGCGAAGGCGGUUACCUGGCCUGAUACUGACACUGAGGCACGAAAGCGUGGGGAGCAAACAGG